ACACGGCCAAAUCCAAAAACCACACCUCACACAACCAGGCUGAAAAUUACACAGAAAUGGCAUCAAGAAACCCCAAUCACAAAGAUACAACUCUCUUAAGGGGAUGGACCCCAAGUUCCUGAGGAAUAUGUGCUUUGCCAAGAAGCACAACAAGAAGGGCCUAAAGAAGAUGCAGGCUGGCCGGCAAGGACGUUAAGCCCACUUGCCUACACUGCCCACCCCAAGCUUGAGAAGCAUGCUUGUGCCCACAAUGCCAAGGGGCUCAGACUGUACCAGCCAAAGGCCAAGGAUCAAAUGAAGGCCCAGGCUGCAGCUCCAGCUUCAGUUCCAGCUCAGGCUCCCAAAGGUGCCCAGGCCUGUACAAAGGCUUCAGAGUAG
rnacentral:lncRNA from 1 species